GAUGGCGUUGAGUUUUGGUUUUGGAUUUGCUUGUUUCUAGUAUAUUUGGUUUCAUGGUAAUUUUGGUACUUUGUGUUGGCGAAAGCCUACCGUGAAGUGUAAUUUUGUAAUGACAAAAAUAACACAAAGAUUCCGUUUUUCCAUAUCAAAGUAUCAGCAUGCUGAUGACUACCACCACUCAAGAGUACUGGAAAUGUGUCAGCGAAUCGUAUGGCCGAUUUAUACUCCUCGUUGUUAGUGCAUUGGAUUGUAGCUCAUUCUUUAUGCAGUUUUGUAAAAAAUUGAAUCGGUAAAUUUGUGUAAUUUAUAUUGAUUUAUAUAUCGUGUGUUGUGACGCUUAGCAUUUCAUGGUAAACCUAGUACACCAAACGAUUCACUAGUAUCUUAUCGAGUAGAAGAGUUUGUGUUAUUGUAUUGACCUUAGUGGCCGAGUUCGAGUUUGACGUUAUGAACAAUUGAUAACCUGUUCUUAUUCUGUAUUUAAAUUAAAAUGACAUUCAACUGGGAAAACCUAUUUUGGCCCAUAUUUGGUGGGUUACUUGCACUUCUUUUCGCCUUAUUGAAGGCUUAUUGUUUUUACAAGUGUGUUUGUCGAAAGAAAAAAGCUCUUGCGGAACAGGCAGUAGAAGGCGUGGUUCUGAAUUAUCACUCAACGGUCAACACUCUGCUGCCAUCUGUCGUUAGUGGCUUUCUCUCUGAAAGCCAUGAAGCUGUUACUAAUGCACUUACUGGAAGUGGUAGAAAUCAGCGAAUGUUGCAGUAUCCAUCCACAACCCAUUCAUGUAGUUGCAACAACCAUCCAUUACCUUCUGAGUACCAUUGUUACCCUGGACAUUUCAGUUCCAGGCAAAUGUUCCCUCCUGUCUGAAGUCAAACUUCUCUGAUAUUUGUCCGUAGAACCAUUUGGGAAACACACGUAUUUGUUUUUAUUUGAGAUUUUUAAUAUUGAGCUACCUGUAAAACUUAAAGCAUAACCUUUUGUUUUAUUCAGAACUAAACUUUUAUUACACUAAGAUGUAUGUAAAAUGACAUGUAUUGUUGUAGUACAACAACAUUUUGAAUUAAAUGUCUAACCGGAUCUGUA